rnacentral:lncRNA from 1 species
GCUGCUUCACCUGGACAGGGUGUUGUGCCCCUAUUUAGGCUAGAAAACCCUACCUUUGGGUAAUUUGAUGAUUGGUUGUAUUGGAGCUCAGAGCUUGCAGCAUCCUCCUGGGACAUACAGCGAUGGCCCCCACACCUGGAAGGACUCAAGCUCUGAAUCCAGCACCUUCAGGAAGCAAGUGAUGGCAUCCCAGAGGCCCUAUGCUUGAGACAGACUGACGAAAACAGGUGGAUCUAGGUAAAAUCAGUCUCUGCUACCCUCCUCAUCUAAACCCUCAGUGCAGGGCCACCUUGGAAGCCAUGUGUUAACACUGAGUGAUCCUCCUCAGCCAAGUCCCUAAUGCAUGGAAAAGAACCUCCUGACCCAGUCCCCAAAGGCUGGACUUUUCCUUUGCAAGAAAUAAGGAGGGUAAAGUUCACCAUAAAUAACAAAGUCAUGGAGUCAAGCUGUCACAAUUGGCCACCGUUCCUAAGGCAUUUGAAUUGUAUGCAUUGACAGGAAAAAGCAGGAAGGAGUGAAGACAGAACAAGGGGAGAAUGUAACCUGAGUUGGAAGGUGUAAUAUUUAAAUGUAUUUGCAAACCUGUUUUGGGCCAAAAGGGGUAGGAGGAAGAGAAGACGCAUUUGCUGAGAUCUAUUAUAUGCCAAUUGGAGGACUACAGAUUUCACAAUUCACAUCUGUUGUCUUAUUUCUUUCUCAUAAUCCCAAAGAUAAUUCUAAAGUUACACAUUAUCAUCUCCAUUUACAAUUAAGAACUGAUGCUCCAAGAAGAAAGAUCUCACAGUGUGUAGGCAACAGACCUAAGAUUCAAACCUAUAUUGGUGGGUGUUAAUGUCCUUGUUCUUUCUGAUGUAAGCAUGUAACAUUUCCACAUCUCUGAUUCCAUGCUCAAGGUGGGCCAAGCCAUGCUGCUUGUAAGACAGGGUGCCUGUGAUGACACAAGUCAUUAAUGCAAGUGUUAAGUGCCAUGCAAGCACAGAAGCCACUUAAAAUGGGUUUUCGGAAAUGAAAGCUGGGCUCAAACAGAGCCCACUUUCAAGGGGGCCUGGUUUAAGUGGCCAAACUCUCAAGAAGAAAGGCAUUAAAGGAAGAGCCUUUCUGCUGGGCUGGCAAAACUUUAGGUUCAUGAAUUCAGGAGGAGACUGAGGAGGAGAAAACAGGGUUUUAGAAUGCAGCCUCAGGAGCUGCCUGCACCUCUCAGGCCAGGAGGUUGGCUUUUCCAAUUGUGCGAUUAAGCUAUUCUACCCAGCCCCACCUCUCAUUUUCAAUUAAUCUGCACUAAUGAAUUCAACAACCAAAAUGCAUUUGCUAAUUGAGGUGCUUGCUGGCCAGGUCAUCCGCGCUCCCUUGUCUAACAGCUGGUACUCCCCACUGUGCCACGGUAAAGUAGGGUAGUAGAGGCCUCUGCUCCCCUCAUCCCCUGCUGCCCCUGAGGGGAAUACCCAGUGGGCAAGAAAAGGCCCAGCCUGGGAGAGAAUGCUCAUAAUAUAUUACUAAGUCACAGACAGAAAUUGCUCCUCCGGGCAGUCUUUCACUUUUUGUUUCUAAGUGAAAGCUCAUGACCAUCCCAGCCAUAUUAUCUCCCUGGCCCUUGGAAGCUGUUAUGUAAUGGAAAGGGCAUUAAACUCAGGCCAGGAAAUUCUUGAUACAGAACCCAGACUGUUGUUGAUAACUGGGUUGACUUUGGAAAGUGACUGCCUCCCUCCCUCUCGGUUUGCUCAUCUGGAAAAUGAAACUAAUGGAAC